rnacentral:lncRNA from 1 species
UGUAGCUUCUACUAUGCCCAUGUGUGAACAAAGUACUAAAAUCUGAUAUUAUAUAUCCUAAAAUAACGUUUGCACUUGUUGGGGUUUUGAGUGCCAGUUGUAUUUUCAGCACGGGUUUAUCUUUUUUCCGUAACAGUUAAGAAAAUUAGGAUCAAGAAAAGCACUGCUCAGACAUCAAAAGAUUUAGUUCUAUGCUGUUGUGUUCUCAAGUUUCCCCCAGGCAAAUUAUGUACUGCCUUCUUGCUCCUCUCCUGGGGCAAUCAAUUUCCUCAUGAAAUGUAAAAGAUAUAAAGUUCUAAAACGAGAAUGACUUUAGCAAUUGGAUCACUGGAUGCUCAGCACCUCAACAGAAAAACAUGUGCUUAUGUGACUCCUCACGCCCACCCAGAAAGGCAGGUAGUGGGUGCCCUGUGCCACCUCCUGAUGGAACACUCAAUUGGCCACAUGUGAUGGUGUAUCUGUUCUUUACUAAAUAUACAUGUGAUGGAGACAAUGAAAAAAAUAAGCUCGGUUCAUGGAAACAAUGCUCUUUUAAAGAAGCAAUGUUCAAUGCAGUUUGAAAACUUAUCGGAUCUACGACUGGUACAAAUGUAGCUUCACUAAAGUGGGAUCUCAGUGUAAUCUUGCAGUACUAACAGAAUAUACAACAUCCUGUGUUUAUUUGGACAACUCAUUAUUUAAAUUUUUGUAUUGGAAAUUUGACUGCAUUUCA